AAUGAACGCUGGCGGCAGGCCUAAAACAUGCAAGUCGAACGCUCUAGCAAUAGAGAGUGGCGCACGGGUGAGUAACACGUGGGAAUAUGCCUUUUGGUACGGAACAACGUCUGGAAACGGACGCUAAUACCGUAUGGUCCCUCCGGGGUAAAGAUUUAUCGCCAAAAGAUUAGCCCGCGUCUGAUUAGCUAGUUGGUGAGGUAAUGGCUCACCAAGGCGACGAUCAGUAGCUGGUCUGAGAGGACGAUCAGCCACACUGGGACUGAGACACGGCCCAGACUCCUACGGGAGGCAGCAGUUAGGAAUAUUGGACAAUGGGCGCAAGCCUGAUCCAGCCAUGCCGCGUGAGUGAUGAAGGCCUUCGGGUUGUAAAGCUCUUUAGUCCGCGAAUAUAAUGACUGUAGUGGAAGAAUAAGCCCCGGCUAACUUCGUGCCAGCCGCCGCCGUAACAC
rnacentral:rRNA from 1 species